rnacentral:lncRNA from 1 species
CACCCCUCUUAGACGUCAAGCCAACAAACACAUCAUUAACAGGCGGAUGCGGAUUCUCUGUCUCUUGUCAACAAUGAGGGUGCUACAGGGGCAGGGCAGGGGAAAACUCUACUCAAAAGUUUGAAUUGAACUCCUUAUUGCAAACCGACUAUAUUUCUUGCUGCCAAUAACUAUCUUGGAGACAACACUCGAACAGAAGGAUACAAAACGGUAGUAUACCUCCGCAUCAGAAGGAACUAUCUCUCCACGACCAACAUAAACAACUGGAGAGAGACUUUCUUACUUGCUCAUAACUCACUACCUUUCUACUAUUCUUCUCUACUUAACCGUUACGUGGGCAGUUUCGCAUUAAACAUUCCAUUCUUUCGACAACACUCUCACUAGGCGAACGAACAAAAAGACAAUCCGGCAAUUCAUUUACCAUACCCUCUUCUCUCUCUACUACAAGGAGCUAAAGGAACUCUACGACAAACAAAUACUUCAUUUCUAUCUAUCGAGUAAGCAUGUGAUAUAUAAUCCAAAGGGUAAAUAGACUGAACGAACAAGUCCUUUUUUCGUCAUGGCGGUAGGGCAGCUAAGAACCACUUCUCAAAUAGCUAAUUUCCCUAUGUUGGUACCCGGAAAACUGGAAUGGAAUCUCUCUCGUCAACUACAGGAAUUUCAUAUCUAUAGAACCAGUAUUUGAACCAACCUUCUUCUUUACCUUUUGAACCAACCUUCUUCUUUACCUUCUGAAGAUCUCGUUGAUGUCGACUUUUCUUUCUUCGGAUCCUUCUCUUGAAACUGUUUCUGAUCGCAGCUUCUUCACUUGCGGAUUCCCUUGCUUUAGAAUAUCAAUUAUGUGCAUUCACUACAAUAGACAGACCAGUGGGGAGAGUGAUACUUAUUUCAACCAGACGAGAUACUAUACUUUAGACGAUACCGAUAUCGCAUUAACCACAAGGCAGAGUUGGGACAGUGAACAAGCUACGUUUUGCUUUCCUUUGAGGUUGGUUUCUCUUCUCUUCCAUCUGCCACGGAACCGUCGUGUUCAGGAGCUAGGCGGGAAAGAAAAGCACUUUCAUUUUCAAACAAAUGCAGGAAAUGCUUAGCCAGCCGUUGCAGAAGCACUUGUUGGUGCAGAAGCACUUGUUAGUGAGUGAUCGCUUGUUAGUUAGUUUUCUUAAUGAGAAGUAUCGCUUGUUUUGGGUGAGUCUUUCUAAUAUGCUGUGGUUAGUUACUUCAUUCAUAUGCAACCUAAGCUAACGCUUACUUCUCUUCUGGGCACUGGGCAAUAAUAAAGUCAAGGUGCUUGGUGGCUUUCCCUUUGCGUGGAGCAGGGUUUUUCGAGUUCUUUACGUUGCUGGGCUUUCCUUUCCCUUGUAGUGAUCCAAGCAUUUCAGUUCAGAGGAAGCUGUCAACCUUACAAGUCAUAAUGUUACGCGUUAUAAUAGUUUCUACCCUUAACUAAAGCAAGCUGUCAACCCAACAAUAAACUCUCUCGUACGACGUCAAACCAAGAAUCUAUAUCGUAAACCACUUUAGCACCCAAAGGAACAACACUUGAAGAUUCAUAAUGGAAUUGAAACUCUCCAACAGUCCAACGAAUGCAUUUGUAGCCUAGAGCAAGUCCUUUCUGCGUUGGCUAUGUUAGCACAUAUACUGUUUUCGCCUGGAGCAAGUUCUUAUUUCGUUGAUUGAAACCUUGCUUUUUCACUAGCUUCUUGACUUUGCUUUAUAUACGGAAUUCGUGUUGAGCCGGUAAGUUUCUAAUUACGUAUAGAAAAAGAGAAUAUUCUGUGAGACUACGACUUUAUACUACUUGUUUGGUCUGCAAGAGAAGUUAUUGUGUCCGUAACUCUCAAAAGGUAGGCUUUUCAGAGAGAGUGAAGUUUGGGGGAGACGAAGCUGUGCUAAGGGAAGCUACAAUUCCAGUUUCGUUUGUGGAAAAAGAUAGUAUUGGCUCUUAAGCUAGCAAGGUGUCGUGGACGUAGAGAGUCUCUUUGUGCUUCUGAUGCGCUAAGUCCUGAUUACCCUUACGCUCUUUCAGCUUUACUUGGAAAUAAGUCUUCUUGCCCAACACAUACCUUAACCUUGAUUAUUGCCUUCUUAUGCUUAAGUAUAGGGUUCUAAGUCUACCGAGAGAAGUUAUUGACCUGACCGCGAGAGAGGAAAUGAAUGAUUCAGACAGGACAGACCCAGACUUCAGCACUAUAAUAAAUGGUAAGUGGAAGGAUUCUUUGUAUACCUUACUGAGUUUGACAGAAAGAAGGGAAUAGAGUAUCUCGCUCGUAUCGAGAAGCCGAGCCUAGAGAAGAAUCUUUUGAAGUGAAAAAGUAAGCUGCUGUCAGAGUUCAAUUAACAGUUUUCCUUGGUGAAAGUGAAAUGACUGUUUUCGUCUUGUUCUGUUCGCAAGUAAGUUGAAAGUCAUUCUGCUCUUUCUUGUUAAGGUCUUACCAGAGAGAGAAUCCGCAUGAGAGUUGAGUGUUGCGGUAAGGACGGGACAAUCUGUUUACCAUGAUAUUGCCUUAUUCCCCGGGACCUGAAUUAUGUCCUUCUUCAGUGCUAACGAGCAACAGAUGAAGCAGUUAGAGGAAAGUAGAGAAGUUAUGUUGCUGCAAGUGAACCAUCAAGUGAAGAAGCUGUGUUAGCUCCCGAAUAAGCUGUUCCAAAGUAAGCUGCAAACGGGUAGUCUUAAGUUGAAGUCUGAACUUCCCGGUGGUGUUCUUGUUUUGUCAACGAGAUCAGGAUCUUAAUAAAGAGAAGAUAAAGGAUCCGGCGUGAAAGUAGGGGGAAAGGAAGCUGCAUCGCCUGUUGCAAGGUUGAGCCUCAAGUCAGCGGGAAAGAUAGAUGGAUCAGACUCAGGCGCUGGGUUAAGGACAUAAUGUAAAGGCUUUGAAGCGUUAGCGGUUCCAACUUCAAGUUUCGUUCAAGGAUAGUUUGGGAGAGUGUAAGUUGAAGCGGAAGCAAGAUCGGAUCGGAAUCUUAUUCAAAAGACAGAGAACCUGGGUAUUUACUUGACUCUAUACUACAUGUGCUCGAUAGAUGAAAUUCCAUUCAUUCAUAUUGCCCCAUACUAAAGGCAAAGUUGUUGACAGAAGAUCCCCUGCUUGAAAAUGCAUUUGAGCCUAAGAAAUAGUCCUAUAGCUCUUAAACAUCAACUGAAACAAUAACUUCCAACUCCACUUGAAGAAACGAACUCCACUUUACUUCCAGCACUUGCUGCUAAUGACAAAACCUCUUCUGAUCUAAUUACUAUUUAUAUUGCACAGAGACCCUUAUUUAGCUUAUUGCCUCUUUAUACUUUACUGUGGAGCUGACUUCCUUUCUCUACGAAAACUAAGGUCAAACCAAUCACUGACACCGACCUUUCACAGUUCUGAACCAACAACGCAUGAACCUCUAGCGUAAACAAAGAGCUACGCUACCCUUAGACACAAGUAGAAGAUCGAACCUCUCUCCCACCAAAAGAACAAGACUCCAAGUUUCGCUAACCAACUUAUAAGAAUCGCUAUGACCAGACUUUAGCCUUAUUCUCGGCUGGCUUCAAUUCCAUUCAUCUUUAUUGAGGAUAAGACUUAUUGCCAACAGGAUAAGACGGAUUGCCUACUUCCCUUCCCGACCCGAACUCUACUACAAGGAAGAAGAAAGCCCUUCACUUUCUUGCAGGACAUAGGCAUAGGCACCGUGAUCCAUACUAUACAAUAUACUUUAAUACAAUAAAUAUACUUGACUUCCAUACUAUACAAUAUACUUUACUUCAAUCAGAAAAGAAAGAAUGGAAUGACACUUAUGGAGGAAUAGAAACCUUACUCUAAACUCAUAGCUUUGCUUCCUUAAUAACCUUUGACUCUAAACUCGUAGCUUUGCUCUUCCUUAUAACCUUAUUGUUCCG